UGAAUGAUGUGGAGACAUGUCAGCCGCAAGGCAGUUGUGAAGGUGCUGCAUGGUUGUCGUCAGCUCGUGCCGUGAGGUGUCGGCUUAAGUGCCAUAACGAGCGCAACCCUUAUCGAUAGUUACCAUCAGGUGAUGCUGGGGACUCUGUCGAGACUGCCGUCGUAAGAUGUGAGGAAGGUGGGGAUGACGUCAAAUCAGCACGGCCCUUACGUCCGGGGCUACACACGUGUUACAAUGGGGGGUACAGA
rnacentral:rRNA from 1 species